UACGUAGGGGGCAAGCGUUGUCCGGAUUUAUUGGGCGUAAAGAGCGUGUAGGCGGCCAGACAGGUCCGUUGUGAAAACUCGAGGCUCAACCUCGAGACGCCGAUGGAAACCGUCUGGCUAGAGUCCGGAAGAGGCGAGUGGAAUUCCUGGUGUAGCGGUGAAAUGCGCAGAUAUCAGGAGGAACACCAAUGGCGAAGGCAGCUCGCUGGGACGUGACUGACGCUGAGACGCGAAAGCGUGGGGAGCAAACAGG
rnacentral:rRNA from 1 species